UACGUAGGGUGCAAGCGUUGUCCGGAUUUAUUGGGCGUAAAGAGCUCGUAGGCGGUCUGUCGCGUCGGCCGUGAAAACCUGCAGCUUAACUGUGGGCGUGCGGUCGAUACGGGCAUCACUGGAGUUCGGCAGGGGAGACUGGAAUUCCUGGUGUAGCGGUGAAAUGCGCAGAUAUCAGGAGGAACACCGGUGGCGAAGGCGGGUCUCUGGGCCGAUACUGACGCUGAGGAGCGAAAGCGUGGGGAGCGAACAGG
rnacentral:rRNA from 1 species